rnacentral:tRNA from 1 species
AAAGGGAGACCUAAUUCAGGUAGGAGACGAAAAAAAGUAGUCCCUACCAAGAAUCAAUCCCAAAAGGUCGGAGCGAGGCGAAAUUGGCUUUCAAACUAGGUUCUGGGUUCAUAAAAGACCUGAAUCAGGAACAAGGGCUAUUAGCUCAGGUGGUUAGAGCGCACCCCUGAUAAGGGUGAGGUCCCUGGUUCGAGUCCAGGAUGGCCCACCUGCACAGGUGGCAAAAACAAGAGAAGCGAGGAAUCAGCACCUUAUCCUAAUUUAUAUAUAGGAGAGAAUGCUGGCUCUGAGUAAAGAGUCCAGAGGAACCUUGAAAACUGCAUAGAGCUAGGUGAAAAAGCCAAAAAAGAAGACCGCAAG